GUGAACCUGCGGAAGGAUCAUUACCGAGUGAGGGCCCUCUGGGUCCAACCUCCCACCCGUGUCUAUCGUACCUUGUUGCUUCGGCGGGCCCGCCGUUUCGACGGCCGCCGGGGAGGCCUUGCGCCCCCGGGCCCGCGCCCGCCGAAGACCCCAACAUGAACGCUGUUCUGAAAGUAUGCAGUCUGAGUUGAUUAUCGUAAUCAGUUAAAACUUUCAACAACGGAUCUCUUGGUUCCGGCAUCGAUGAAGAACGCAGCGAAAUGCGAUAAGUAAUGUGAAUUGCAGAAUUCAGUGAAUCAUCGAGUCUUUGAACGCACAUUGCGCCCCCUGGUAUUCCGGGGGGCAUGCCUGUCCGAGCGUCAUUGCUGCCCUCAAGCACGGCUUGUGUGUUGGGCCCCCGUCCCCCUCUCCCGGGGGACGGGCCCGAAAGGCAGCGGCGGCACCGCGUCCGGUCCUCGAGCGUAUGGGGCUUUGUCACCUGCUCUGUAGGCCCGGCCGGCGCCAGCCGACACCCAACUUUAUU
rnacentral:rRNA from 1 species